GCAGUCUAGUGGUUAGGGUGUUUGACUCCCAGCCAAAAGAAAUUGGGUUCGAUCCCCAAUGUCCAAAGUCCACCUGCA